rnacentral:lncRNA from 1 species
CCCCUCUGCUGCAGGUCUGCUGGAGUUUGCUGGAGGUCCACUCCAGACCCUGUUUGUCUGUGUAUCACCAGCGGAGACUGCAGAACAGCAAAGGUUGCUGCCUGCUCCUUCCUCUGAAAGCUUCAUCCCAGAGGUACAACUAAGACCUCUGGAUAUUAUAAAACAAACAGAGCUAACCCACCUCAGAAGAAUGUCUAACAGAAUUUCUCUAAUCAGAAAGGCAACGAUAAAAGAAGACACCUUGGACCAUCAGGAAGAAAGAGCAUGGUAGGCAAAAAUAUGGGCUCUUCAGGGUUCCAGGAAGUCCCUGUGUCUCUUUGUCCUAGAGCUCUCAUAGAACUCCAGACGGAUCUGGCUGCUGGGUCAUGAUGCAGAAUGCUAACCUGCAGGGAGGGAGAGGCGACUUCCUAUUGCCCGCCUGCUUUUAUUGUCAAUUCCUAAGUUCAACAACAAAGAGGAACUUCCGCCCUGUCCCUGGACCUCACAUUUUCCUGGAAAAGAAAGCUUCUGGCACUGGUGCACACAUUAGGCCAAGAGGAGCCUGCUUUCCUUGACUUUUCUGAUAAUCAAAGGUGCAAAAAGGGACCACAAAGCUUUCCCAGGGAAUCACUGAGGCAGAGACAAAUCUGAAUUGCUCCAUUCAUCUCCUAUUGUUCAAGGUCAAGAUAAUAAGAUAUACCAUACCCUAAUGCCACCUGCACAUGCAAAGUACCCUCAGCCCUACAUUCUGCAUUGAGAGUUGUGUGGAAGCAACAGGAAAACAGUGGAAAGUUAGGAGAGAAAAAAAUUUCUCAAAAUCAAUAUGCCAUAUCUUUCAAUUUUGCUCAAGUAAAUAGUUUUGAAAAAGGUAAAUGUCUUCAUUUUUUCCUGCCAAGGGCAAGGCGUUUCAGUUUUUCCUUUGUGGUGGAUGCAGGAAGAGACAGAGGAAGCGCCAGUGUUUAGCCUGGAAAAUUGUUAAAAAUCUAUACUUAAUGUUAUUAUUCUGUUACCAUGCA